rnacentral:rRNA from 1 species
CAGUCGCCGCGGGAAUACGAAGGGGGCUAGCGUUGUUCGGAAUUACUGGGCGUAAAGGGCGCGUAGGUGGCCAAAGUCAGGCGUGAAAUUCCUGGGCUCAACCUGGGGGCUGCGCUUGAUACUUGGUUGCUUGAGUGGGGAAGAGGGUCGUGGAAUUCCCAGUGUAGAGGUGAAAUUCGUAGAUAUCGGAAGGAACACCUGUGGCGAAAGCGGCUCACUGGACCAUAACUGACGCUGAGGCGCGAAAGCUAGGGGAGCAAACAGGAUUAGAUACCCCUGUAGUCCCUGUCUCUUAUACACC